UAGGGAAUAUUGCACAAUGGGAACCGUAGCAUGCAGCGACGCCGCGUGAAGGAAGAAGUAUCUCGGUAUGUAAACUUCUAUCAGCAGGGAAGACAAUGACGGUACCCGACUAAGAAGCCCCGGCUAACUACGUGCCAGCAGCCGCGGUAAUACGUAGGGGCGAAGCGUUAUCCGGAUUUACUGGGUGUAAAGGGAGCGUAGACGGACGGCAAGUCUGAAGUGAAAGGCAGGGGCUCAACCCCUGACUGCUUUGGAAACUGUCCAUCUAGAGUGCCGGAGAGGUAAGCGGAAUUCCUAGUGUAGCGGUGAAAUGCGUAGAUAUUAGGAGGAACACCAGUGGCGAAGGCGGCUUACUGGACGGUAACUGACGUUGAGGCUCGAAAGCGUGGGGAGCAAACAGGAUUAGAUACCC
rnacentral:rRNA from 1 species